UUAAGUGACUAAGCGUACACGGUGGAUGCCUAGGCAGUCAGAGGCGAUGAAGGGCGUGCUAAUCUGCGAAAAGCGUCGGUAAGGUGAUAUGAACCGUUAUAACCGGCGAUACCCGAAUGGGGAAACCCAGUGUGUUUCGACACACUAUCAUGUCAUGAAUACAUAGUGGCAUGAGGCGAACCGGGGGAACUGAAACAUCUAAGUACCCCGAGGAAAAGAAAUCAACCGAGAUUCCCCCAGUAGCGGCGAGCGAACGGGGAGGAGCCCAGAACCUGAAUCGGCUUGUGUGUUAGUGGAAGCGUCUGGAAAGUCGCGCAGCAAAGGGUGAUAGCCCCGUACACUAAAAUGCACAGGUCGUGAGUUCGAUGAGUAGGGCGGGACACGUGACAUCCUGUCUGAAUAUGGGGGGACCAUCCUCCAAGGCUAAAUACUCCUGACUGACCGAUAGUGAACCAGUACCGUGAGGGAAAGGCGAAAAGAACCCCGGCGAGGGGAGUGAAAUAGAACCUGAAACCGUGUACGUACAAGCAGUGGGAGCACCUUCGUGGUGUGACUGCGUACCUUUUGUAUAAUGGGUCAGCGACUUAUAUUUUGUAGCAAGGUUAACCGUAUAGGGGAGCCGUAGGGAAACCGAGUCUUAACUGGGCGACUAGUUGCAAGGUAUAGACCCGAAACCCGGUGAUCUAGCCAUGGGCAGGUUGAAGGUUGGGUAACACUAACUGGAGGACCGAACCGACUAAUGUUGAAAAAUUAGCGGAUGACUUGUGGCUGGGGGUGAAAGGCCAAUCAAACCGGGAGAUAGCUGGUUCUCCCCGAAAGCUAUUUAGGUAGCGCCUCGUGAACUCAUCUUCGGGGGUAGAGCACUGUUUCGGCUAGGGGGCCAUCCCGGCUUACCAAACCGAUGCAAACUCCGAAUACCGAAGAAUGUUAUCACGGGAGACACACGGCGGGUGCUAACGUCCGUCGUGAAGAGGGAAACAACCCAGACCGCCAGCUAAGGUCCCAAAGUCAUGGUUAAGUGGGAAACGAUGUGGGAAGGCAUAGACAGCCAGGAUGUUGGCUUAGAAGCAGCCAUCAUUUAAAGAAAGCGUAAUAGCUCACUGGUCGAGUCGGCCUGCGCGGAAGAUGUAACGGGGCUAAACCAUGCACCGAAGCUGCGGCAGCGACGCUUAGGCGUUGUUGGGUAGGGGAGCGUUCUGUAAGCCGUUGAAGGUGGCCUGUGAGGGUUGCUGGAGGUAUCAGAAGUGCGAAUGCUGACAUAAGUAACGAUAAAGCGGGUGAAAAGCCCGCUCGCCGGAAGACCAAGGGUUCCUGUCCAACGUUAAUCGGGGCAGGGUGAGUCGACCCCUAAGGCGAGGCUGAAAAGCGUAGUCGAUGGGAAACAGGUUAAUAUUCCUGUACUUGGUGUUACUGCGAAGGGGGGACGGAGAAGGCUAGGCUGGCCGGGCGACGGUUGUCCCGGUUUAAGCGUGUAGGGGGUGUGACCUGGUAAAUCCGGUUGCAUAUCAACCCUGAGGCGUGAUGACGAUGCACUACGGUGCAGAAGUAGUUGAUGCCCUGCUUCCAGGAAAAUCCUCUAAGCUCCAGGUAACAUUAAAUCGUACCCCAAACCGACACAGGUGGUCAGGUAGAGAAUACCAAGGCGCUUGAGAGAACUCGGGUGAAGGAACUAGGCAAAAUGGUGCCGUAACUUCGGGAGAAGGCACGCUGGCAUGUAGGUGAAGUCCCUUGCGGAUGGAGCUGAAGCCAGUCGAAGAUACCAGCUGGCUGCAACUGUUUAAUAAAAACACAGCACUGUGCAAACACGAAAGUGGACGUAUACGGUGUGACGCCUGCCCGGUGCUGGAAGGUUAAUUGAUGGGGUCAGCCGCAAGGCGAAGCUCUUGAUCGAAGCCCCAGUAAACGGCGGCCGUAACUAUAACGGUCCUAAGGUAGCGAAAUUCCUUGUCGGGUAAGUUCCGACCUGCACGAAUGGCGUAAUGAUGGCCAGGCUGUCUCCACCCGAGACUCAGUGAAAUUGAACUCGCUGUGAAGAUGCAGUGUACCCGCGGCAAGACGGAAAGACCCCGUGAACCUUUACUAUAGCUUGACACUGAACAUUGAGCCUUGAUGUGUAGGAUAGGUGGGAGGCUUUGAAGCGUGGACGCCAGUCUGCGUGGAGCCAUCCUUGAAAUACCACCCUUUAAUGUUUGAUGUUCUAACUCGGCCCCAUAAUCUGGGGUGAGGACAGUGUCUGGUGGGUAGUUUGACUGGGGCGGUCUCCUCCCAAAGAGUAACGGAGGAGCACGAAGGUUAGCUAAUCACGGUCGGACAUCGUGAGGUUAGUGCAAAGGCAUAAGCUAGCUUGACUGCGAGAGUGACGGCUCGAGCAGGUACGAAAGUAGGUCUUAGUGAUCCGGUGGUUCUGAAUGGAAGGGCCAUCGCUCAACGGAUAAAAGGUACUCCGGGGAUAACAGGCUGAUACCGCCCAAGAGUUCAUAUCGACGGCGGUGUUUGGCACCUCGAUGUCGGCUCAUCACAUCCUGGGGCUGAAGUAGGUCCCAAGGGUAUGGCUGUUCGCCAUUUAAAGUGGUACGCGAGCUGGGUUUAGAACGUCGUGAGACAGUUCGGUCCCUAUCUGCCGUGGGCGUUGGAAGAUUGAGAGGGGUUGCUCCUAGUACGAGAGGACCGGAGUGAACGCACCACUGGUGUUCGGGUUGUCAUGCCAAUGGCAUUGCCCGGUAGCUAAGUGCGGAAAAGAUAAGCGCUGAAAGCAUCUAAGCGCGAAACUUGCCUCAAGAUGAGUCUUCCCUGGGCCUUUAAGGCCCCUGAAGGAACGUUUAAGACUAAGACGUUGAUAGGCUGGGUGUGUAAGUGCAGCGAUGCAUUGAGCUAACCAGUACUAAUGAUCCGUGAGGCUUAACCUU
rnacentral:rRNA from 1 species